GGACCAAAUCUCAGCUUUAUUUCUCUAGAAUAGGAAAUAGAGAUAUCGUUGUCAUCUUAUGUUUUUUCUCACUUGAUCUGAUCUAUGAUCUGUUGAAACUUGAUCAUCUGUUCUUGCAAGUGAGGUUUUGUUGCUACAUUUCUGAACUUCAAAAUUAGAAAAAUAAUAUCCUGAAGCUUCUAAUACUUACAGUUGAGCUGACUUUAUAUUCUGUUUACACCUACCAUUUUACAUAAAUCUUUAUGCCUUUUAUUUAGAAGACAACAUAAAAAUUAAAAGAGAAAAAAUAUCCCCCAUAUUCAUAAUACCUCUCUAUGGACUAUUCUUUUGUGGGAUAAGGUAGGUGGGAGAAUGGAAGAGUAGCAGACCCAUUAGAAUACAAAACAUUGAUUCAAGUUUGACACACCACACCACGGUGGAUGUGCCUUGUCAUGACACAUCUUCUCAGCAGCACUAGAAGAUACAUCCAAAGUCCUGUGAGCAAGGACACAGCGAGAAGAUGGCUGUCUACAAGCCAGGAAGAGAGUCCUCACCAGAACCAAACCCUGCUGGACUUUGAUCUUGGACUUCCCAGCCUCUAAAACUGUGAAGACAUAAAUUUCUGUUGUUAAACCC
rnacentral:lncRNA from 1 species